GUGCGCCCCCGGCGGCCC
rnacentral:snRNA from 1 species